rnacentral:lncRNA from 1 species
GUUAUGAUUUUGAUGUGCAUAUUCAUUUUGGUGCUGGUGCGUACAUCUGUGGUGAAGAGACCGCCCUACUAGAGAGCCUUGAAGGGAAGCAGGGCAAACCUAGGCUGAAGCCACCUUUCCCAGCCAAUGCUGGGCUCUACGGCUGCCCCACAACUGUGACUAAUGUAGAAACUGUGGCUGUAUCCCCAACAAUUCUUAGGCGCGGUCCAGAAUGGUUUGCAAGCUUUGGGCGCAAGAACAACUCUGGAACCAAGCUCUAUUGCAUCUCAGGGCAUGUGAACAAACCUUGCACCGUGGAAGAGGAAAUGAGCAUACCUCUGAAGGAGUUGCUCGAGAGGCACUGUGGAGGUGUGAGAGGGGGAUGGGACAACCUGCUUGCGGUAAU